GAAAUGCGAUAAGUAAUGUGAAUUGCAGAAUUCAGUGAAUCAUCGAAUCUUUGAACGCACCUUGCGCUCCUUGGUAUUCCUUGGAGCAUGCCUGUUUGAGUAUCAUGAAAUCUUCAAAGUAAAUCUUUUGUUAACUCAAUUGGUUUCUACUUUUGUAUUGGAGGUCUUUGCAGCUUCACACCUGCUCCUCUUUGUUCAUUAGCUGGAUCUCAGUGUUAUGCUUGGUUCCACUCGGCGUGUUAAGUUAUCUAUCGCUGAGGACACUGUAAAAGGUGGCCAAGGUAAAUGCAGAUGAACCGCUUCUAAUAGUCCAUUGACUUGGACAAUACUUUUAUGAUCUGAUCUCAAAUCAGGUAGGACUACCCGCUGAACUUAAGC
rnacentral:misc_RNA from 1 species